rnacentral:rRNA from 1 species
CUACGGGACGCUGCAGUGAGGAAUAUUGCACAAUGGGGGGAACCCUGAUGCAGCAACGCCGCGUGGAGGAUGACGCAUUUCGGUGUGUAAACUCCUUUUAUAUGUCAAGAAAAUGACGGUAGCAUAUGAAUAAGCACCGGCUAACUCCGUGCCAGCAGCCGCGGUAAUACGGAGGGUGCAAGCGUUACUCGGAAUCACUGGGCGUAAAGGACGCGUAGGCGGGUUGGAAAGUCAGGUGUGAAAUCCUACAGCUUAACUGUAGAACUGCACUUGAAACUUCUAAUCUAGAGUAUGGGAGGGGGAGAUGGAAUUAGUGGUGUAGGGGUAAAAUCCGUAGAUAUCACUAGGAAUACCUAAAGCGAAGGCGAUCUUCUGGAACAAUACUGACGCUACGGCGUGAAAGCGUAGGGAGCAAACAGGAUUAGAUACCCCGGUAGUC